UACGGAGGGUGCGAGCGUUGUCCGGAUUAUUGGGCGUAAAGAGCUCGUAGGCGGCUCGUCGCGUCGACCGUGAAAACCCGCGGCUUAACUGCGGGCUUGCGGUUGAAUACGGGCGGGCUAGAGUUCGGUAGGGGAGACGUAGGGAAUUUCCUGGUGGUACGGUGAAUGACGCAGAUAUCAAGGAGGAACACCGGUGGCGAAGGCGGCUCUCUGGACCUGUCCUGACGCUCAGGCGCGAAAGCUAGGGGAGCGAACAGG
rnacentral:rRNA from 1 species